rnacentral:tRNA from 1 species
GGAGAGGUGUCCGAGUGGUUGAAGGAGCACGCCUGGAAAGCGUGUAUACGGUCAAACGUAUCGAGGGUUCGAAUCCCUCUCUCUCCGCCA